CGCUGGCGGCGUGCUUAACACAUGCAAGUCGAACGAUGAUGACUGAAGCUUGCUUUGGUUUGAUUAGUGGCGAACGGGUGAGUAACACGUGAGUAACCUGCCCCUCACUUCGGGAUAACCAUUGGAAACGGUGGCUAAUACUGGAUAUGACACAUGGCCGCAUGGUCUGUGUGUGGAAAGAACUUUGGUGGGGGAUGGGCUCGCGGCCUAUCAGCUUGUUGGUGGGGUGAUGGCCUACCAAGGCUUUGACGGGUAGCCGGCCUGAGAGGGCGACCGGCCACACUGGGACUGAGACACGGCCCAGACUCCUACGGGAGGCAGCAGUGGGGAAUAUUGCACAAUGGGGGAAACCCUGAUGCAGCGACGCCGCGUGGGGGAUGAAGGCCUUCGGGUUGUAAACCCCUUUCAGUAGGGAACAAGGCCAUGAUUUUUGUUGUGGUUGAGGGUACUUGCAGAAGAAGCGCCGGCUAACUACGUGCCAGCAGCCGCGGUAAUACGUAGGGCGCAAGCGUUGUCCGGAAUUAUUGGGCGUAAAGAGCUCGUAGGCGGUUUGUCGCGUCUGCCGUGAAAACCCGAUGCUUAACAUCGGGCUUGCGGUGGGUACGGGCAGGCUAGAGUGCGGUAGGGGUGACUGGAAUUCCUGGUGUAGCGGUGGAAUGCGCAGAUAUCAGGAGGAACACCGAUGGCGAAGGCAGGUCACUGGGCCGUUACUGACGCUGAGGAGCGAAAGCAUGGGGAGCGAACAGGAUUAGAUACCCUGGUAGUCCAUGCCGUAAACGUUGGGCACUAGGUGUGGGGAUUGUUCCACGAUUCCUGUACCGUAGCUAACGCAUUAAGUGCCCCGCCUGGGGAGUACGGCCGCAAGGCUAAAACUCAAAGGAAUUGACGGGGGCCCGCACAAGCGGCGGAGCAUGCGGAUUAAUUCGAUGCAACGCGAAGAACCUUACCAAGGCUUGACAUACACCGGAACUGCUCAGAGAUGGGUAGGUCUUCGGACUGGUGUACAGGUGGUGCAUGGUUGUCGUCAGCUCGUGUCGUGAGAUGUUGGGUUAAGUCCCGCAACGA
rnacentral:rRNA from 1 species